rnacentral:rRNA from 1 species
CUGCCAGACUCCUACGGGAGGCAGCAGUGGGGAAUAUUGCACAAUGGGGGAAACCCUGAUGCAGCGACGCCGCGUGGGUGAAGGAGCACCUCGGUGCGUAAAGCCCUAUCGGCAGGGAAGAAAAGCGAACAGGUUCGCCUGGACGGUACCUGACUAAGAAGCCCCGGCUAACUACGUGCCAGCAGCCGCGGUAAUACGUAGGGGGCGAGCGUUAUCCGGAUUUACUGGGUGUAAAGGGAGCGUAGACGGUUCUGCAAGUCUGAAGUGAAAGCCCGUGGCUUAACCGCGGAACGGCUUUGGAAACUGUGGAACUGGAGUGCUGGAGAGGCAAGCGGAAUUCCUAGUGUAGCGGUGAAAUGCGUAGAUAUUAGGAGGAACACCAGUGGCGAAGGCGGCUUACUGGACUGUAACUGACGUUGAGGCUCGAAAGCGUGGGGAGCAAACAGGAUUAGAUACCCUCGUA